rnacentral:lncRNA from 1 species
GAUACCAAGAGAGAAGAGAGAAUAUUAUCUAAGGAAAUUAUAUCCUCCUCUAAGGAGAAAAUGCAAGAACAGCUCAUCUGUAUUAUCAGGAUGAAAUGAAGAGCAUAUUGGACCAAGAGCUGGUUGCUGGGUGAUAUAGAGGUUGGGGAGUUAUGGAUAUCUUCCUCUUAAUUCUCUUAAUUGUCCAAUUUUUUUUCAGUGUAGCAGGACGCAAGAUCAUCUGUUAAGAGUGAGCAUGGGAGAGGAUGUGGAGAAAGUUUGGAAAAAAGAAAGUGUAUGAAAUUGUAAUCUCCAAAAUUAAAAGAAUGCAUGAAGUAGAUAAAUAUUAUAAUAUCAUUAUGUUAUUAAUCAUGGCAUCAUAGUAACAAUACUAUUAAUCGCCCACAUCAGGUCUGUUUUGAUUAAUUUAAACACUUAAACAGAAUAUU